rnacentral:lncRNA from 1 species
UGAUAUGUGCUAUGUUACAAGCUCGCGGGAGCUCGUAAGGCCCAGACGUUCUAGCGUCGUCAAAACGAAGGACGAAACAAAAGAGGAAAAAGAAAGAAGGGGUCAUGGACCUCAUCUGAGAGAGAAACAGUAAACAGAGUAGGCUCACUACUCGGCUAUCAGCGCGCGUCGCCUCACGAAGAUGUUGUGUACGAUCUGCGCAAGUCCGCGCUGAUCAUCUAUCUCCAUGACAGACCUCAUGUUGGGCACGACAUCCGCCUGGCGUACACCUAGGACUUGAGAAGCCCUUCUAUCUGUUACUGAAUUAAGUAACUUGCGGUGGAGGAGAACAACGCACGGCUAAAGGUCUUCCAAGACGCUUGAGAAGCCCUUCCCGUAGGUGGUUGCACGCGAAACACUCUAGCAACACGUGAAACACAUCUUUUACUGCGUUAUUGUUGCCACAGACCCUACAUCAGCGCUCUUGGCGCGACCGACCGGCGGGUCGGCUAACCUCCAAAGGCCACGUCCUAAACGAAACCGCAGCAGUGACAAGUAUGACUUCGCGAAGCAGGGACGUAGCACAUCGUGUGCUUCGGCGUUCCCAUCCAAUGGGGAUGCCGGCAAAUCUUAAUCCCUGGUUACGGUUGUCCGACAAAGACUCCCCGGAUGUAUUCUGAUGUAUUGAUAAGACGUGGGUUCGUCCAGUCAUCAUCAAAUCGCUCGUUCAACGUUUCCAUGGCGGAUCGAACAUUGGUCGGGCUCGACGAAAUGACCUUCCCCAGACUUCAUCCAGGUCCGGGUGCAGCUCUGGGAAGUGCCUCAAAGAGUGAGUGCCUUAAGCACCUGAGGCCCUUAGAAUCAUGACAACCCAGUUGGUGGCAGUGUAAUCAGAACGCAUUGCAAGAAGUAUCUCCUCACGCAAAACAUUGUGAGAAACACAGUCCCCUUUGCAAGGAUAUCCCUGUUCCAAAAAUGGUAGUUGAGUGCGGCCCGGUGAAGGUGGAAGGGCCAUUGACCAAGCUCCCUAAACAGCACAUCCGGUAUCCUCCCUAACCCAGAGAGAUGCUUCAGAAACGUGCGUUGCAGCUCGACUAU